rnacentral:rRNA from 1 species
UGGGGAAUUUUGCACAAUGGGGGAAACCCUGAUGCAGCGACGCCGCGUGAUUUAGAAGGCCUUCGGGUUGUAAAAAUCUUUUCUAUGGGAAGAAAAUGACAGUACCAUAGGAAUAAGGACCGGCUAAUUACGUGCCAGCAGCCGCGGUAAUACGUAAGGUCCGAGCGUUGUCCGUAAUCAUUGGGCGUAAAGGGUACGUAGGCGGGUAAGCAAGUUAGAAGUGAAAUCCUAUAGCUCAACCAUAGUAAGCUUUUAAAACUGCUAAUCUUGAGGUAUGGAAGGGAAAGUGGAAUUCCUGGUGUAGCGGUGAAAUGCGCAGAUAUUAGGAGGAAUACCGGUGGCGAAGGCGACUUUCUGGCCAUACCCUGACGCUGAGGUACGAAAGCGUGGGUAGCAAACAGG